AUUGAACGCUGGCGGCAGGCCUAACACAUGCAAGUCGAGCGAGCGGCGGACGGGUGAGUAAUGUCUGGGAAACUGCCUGAUGGAGGGGGAUAACUACUGGAAACGGUAGCUAAUACAGCAUACCAUAAGAUGUGCCCAGAUGGGAUUCGCUAGUAGGUGGGGUAACGGCUCACCUAGGCGCCGAUCCCUAGCUGGUCUGAGAGGAUUACCGGCAACACUUGAAAUGAUACACGGUCCAUAAUCUUACGGGAGGCAGCGGUGGGGAAUAUUGCACAAUGGGCGCAAGCCUGAUUCAGCCAGGCCGCGUGUUGGAAGAAGGCCUUCGGGUUGUAAAGCACUUGCAGCGGGGAGGCGUUACCCGCAGAAGAAGCACCGGCUAACUCCGUGCCAGCAGCCGCGGUAAUAC
rnacentral:rRNA from 1 species